GGGGGGGGGGGUGCUAUACAUGCAAGUCGAACGAGUUCUGAUUAUUGAAAGGUGCUUGCAUCUUGAUUUAAUUUUGAACGAGUGGCGGACGGGUGAGUAACACGUGGGUAACCUGCCCUUAAGUGGGGGAUAACAUUUGGAAACAGAUGCUAAUACCGCAUAAAUCCAAGAACCGCAUGGUUCUUGGCUGAAAGAUGGCGUAAGCUAUCGCUUUUGGAUGGACCCGCGGCGUAUUAGCUAGUUGGUGAGGUAACGGCUCACCAAGGCAAUGAUACGUAGCCGAACUGAGAGGUUGAUCGGCCACAUUGGGACUGAGACACGGCCCAAACUCCUACGGGAGGCAGCAGUAGGGAAUCUUCCACAAUGGACGCAAGUCUGAUGGAGCAACGCCGCGUGAGUGAAGAAGGCUUUCGGGUCGUAAAACUCUGUUGUUGGAGAAGAAUGGUCGGCAGAGUAACUGUUGUCGGCGUGACGGUAUCCAACCAGAAAGCCACGGCUAACUACGUGCCAGCAGCCGCGGUAAUACGUAGGUGGCAAGCGUUAUCCGGAUUUAUUGGGCGUAAAGCGAGCGCAGGCGGUUUUUUAAGUCUGAUGUGAAAGCCCUCGGCUUAACCGAGGAAGUGCAUCGGAAACUGGGAAACUUGAGUGCAGAAGAGGACAGUGGAACUCCAUGUGUAGCGGUGAAAUGCGUAGAUAUAUGGAAGAACACCAGUGGCGAAGGCGGCUGUCUGGUCUGUAACUGACGCUGAGGCUCGAAAGCAUGGGUAGCGAACAGGAUUAGAUACCCUGGUAGUCCAUGCCGUAAACGAUGAAUGCUAGGUGUUGGAGGGUUUCCGCCCUUCAGUGCCGCAGCUAACGCAUUAAGCAUUCCGCCUGGGGAGUACGACCGCAAGGUUGAAACUCAAAGGAAUUGACGGGGGCCCGCACAAGCGGUGGAGCAUGUGGUUUAAUUCGAAGCAACGCGAAGAACCUUACCAGGUCUUGACAUCUUUUGAUCACCUGAGAGAUCAGGUUUCCCCUUCGGGGGCAAAAUGACAGGUGGUGCAUGGUUGUCGUCAGCUCGUGUCGUGAGAUGUUGGGUUAAGUCCCGCAACGAGCGCAACCCUUAUGACUAGUUGCCAGCAUUUAGUUGGGCACUCUAGUAAGACUGCCGGUGACAAACCGGAGGAAGGUGGGGAUGACGUCAAAUCAUCAUGCCCCUUAUGACCUGGGCUACACACGUGCUACAAUGGAUGGUACAACGAGUUGCGAGACCGCGAGGUCAAGCUAAUCUCUUAAAGCCAUUCUCAGUUCGGACUGUAGGCUGCAACUCGCCUACACGAAGUCGGAAUCGCUAGUAAUCGCGGAUCAGCACGCCGCGGUGAAUACGUUCCCGGGCCUUGUACACACCGCCCGUCACACCAUGAGAGUUUGUAACACCCGAAGCCGGUGGCGUAACCCUUUUAGGGAGCGAGCCGUCUAAGGUGGACCAAAAAUG
rnacentral:rRNA from 1 species